rnacentral:misc_RNA from 1 species
UGUGGGUUGCGCUCGAGUCGAAUGUUCUGUAGUUUGUUUACCUGAAAGCCGUUCCGUGGUUCCGUUUAGCGUUAGUUCAGUCUGUUGGGUCACGGGAAAUUUGAGUUAUACGCCGGUGAACUUAUUUUUAAUAGAAUAGUUUAAUUAAAUCUGCUAUAAUUUUAUAAUAGAAUUACAUUUUUAGUCACAGUGGCCUUAAAAUAUAUUUAGAUAAAUUUGUUAAGAACUUGACAAAAAAAUGAGUGAUACCGUUAAAGAUCUCUCUUUAAAUAACUCAAACGACUUAAUUGAGGAGAAUUUUAAAAGUUGUUUUGCUCGUAGUGUUGCUGUUAAUUCACAGCGGAACAGUUCAAGCGAUAGUUUUUCUGUGAAUUGUGAAGGUGAUGAAGAUAAUAAGCAUAUACUUGAAAAUAGUUCUUCUACCCAAGAUUCACAAUUCCGAUUUAAAAAGAACUACCGUCCACAUUUAGAAGAAAACAGAAGAUUUUCAUGCGGAAGUAUAAUUCAGAAAACAGCACCUGCGUCCUUUUUUUCACAACAGCCUAAAAGAAACGAAAUACCUGUCGAGAGUAUCUACAAUCAAAAUAAGAUUGAAACAUUGCAGUGGCAAAUAAAAGAGAUUGAAAAGAGUCGGGAAAUGUAUAAAGCUGUAUUAAAACAAGUAGUGACUUUUCUUGAAAAGGCCUAUGUUAGUUUGGAACACUUAGGUGCCCGACUUAAUACAAAAAAGUCAGUGACGAGAUCAAAAAGUGAACAUUACAUUUUCGAUGAAAGUGAUAAUUGCAGUGUGAGCAGUAAAAGAAGUUUAGUUGAGGAGCCUUUUAAUAAUUGGAAUCCUUCCCAGAAACGACAAGAUUGCAAUCCUAAUGAAGUACCUCCAGAAAAACUAUCCCAGGAAGCGUUUCGCCUUCUUAGAACCGCCCAGUCGUUACUUAGCACACAAGAACCAAAGCUUAGCUCAUCGGACAGCAUUCCUGACGUACCAUCUGAUGUAGAAUUUCUACAACAACUAGCAAAAGAAUUUCCCUGCGAAAGUGCAAAGCCUCAGAGGUCCAGUAGUUUUAAUUUAAGUCCAAAACUUAUUUUGCCCGAGAGCGAGAUUAGCAUUUCUAUGGCGUUAAACAGAAAAUUGUCGCUACAACUAAAUGAGUACCGACGCAACUCGGAAUCGUCUAAGAAUUUCAAAAAUUCAGCCGGGUCUGACAUUGAUGAAAAUGAUUGUUAUUUCCUAGGACCAAGAGUAGACAAGCUCGAAAGAAAUUCGCAAACUAGUGAUUCCAUAAGAAGUUCUGGAAAUGAAUUUACGGAGAAUAAGUUUAAAUGCGUAAAGGAACAGUUAAAUCCUGGAUCCCUUGCUACGGCUAGUAUUAGUUCGACAGAAGAUGAGAGUGGGUUCUCUUCAAUGAAUUCAUUUCAGGAUAUUGGAUUGCCUCUAAUUAAUUCGACAGGUUUAGAAGAUGUUUCAGCCCGUAGCGUACUUUUAAAAAGUAUGCUUCACAAUAACUGCGAUACCCUCAUAGAAGGCACUAUUUUACCUCUCCUCGAAAGUUCUUCUACGAAGACCCAAUACUUAGGUAGAACAUGUGAAAAAUAUAAAAAGCCUAUGGAUAAAGACAGUUUACUACAGGAAGAGAAGGAAAGAUGUAAAUUAAAUGACAUUAAGUUAUGGCAAAAAUGUCCACUUGAAAAACCUUCGACGACUGCAAUUUCAAGCAUUUCUAAUUCUGGACUUACAACACCUCUUAGUUCUAGAGGAAACCAUCAAAGAUGGCAUUCAACUCCUGAACAAAAAGAUAGUAAACAAUUACUCAAAGUUCUUUGGGUUUAGAGCCUAAACAAGUAGUUUACGCUAAUAUAAAAUCUAAGUGCAUAGGAAUUAGUUUACGUCUAUUAUCCUAUAAUCUCUAAGUUAUUGUAAGAUUUUUAAUGAUGUAAUUGUUUAUUUGUUAAUAAAAACGUAAUAUUUUGAAUGAUAUAAAAACAUUAUAAUUCAGAUGAGACAUUGAAAGAUAAUAAUAUAUUCACCCAUAACCAAUUUCAUUAUUACAACAGCCAUUAUACAGGUUGGAGAAUUAAGAUUACAAAUUGUCACGGCAAAAUCACGGUAUCACUGAUUUCUCUCGUGGAUGAACCGCCGCCUCUGAUCGUCCAAUAGAUAUCCUUUUAUCUUCAAAAUUAUUAUAAAUGCCACGUUAAAGUACGAGAGGAACUUCUAUGGAAAAUGAGCAAGACUGGCUGGAAGAACAUGGACUUGAUUAUAUUGAACUAGAUUAAACAGGAUCAAGUAGAAGUAUCGGAGAGGAAGUGGGUAUGGACCAUGAAACUAUUACCAUUAUUUCGAAAAAACAUGGGUAUAAAUGUUUAAAAUGUUCUAAACCUUAUGAGAUA